AUCGGGGUAAGGCUGACAAAACACCAGAGAUGAUAGAUGGAGAAAGGUGCGGAGAUGCCACUACAAAAAAAAUGCUACAUGUGGAGACAUAGGCAACAAAGAAAAUGAGGCAAAAGAUCAAGAGACGAUAACUACAACAAACAAGAACAACGAAACACAAAACAUGCAAGGAUUGUUUGAUGCGCCUACCUUUCACCUGCUCACACAAGACACCGAAUUAGGUGAUGAUGUCGAUGAUACGCAUGACAAAAAUCAAGAAGGGAAGGGAACGGCUGAAAAUGAUAUCACACGUAAUGCUUGGAUAAAGGAACUUGAAUCAAGACGA